CAAGUCGAACGAGCAAGAGAGAGCUUGCUUUCUCGAGCGAGUGGCGAACGGGUGAGUAACGCGUGAGGAACCUGCCUCAAAGAGGGGGACAACAGUUGGAAACGACUGCUAAUACCGCAUAAGCCCACGGGUCGGCAUCGACCAGAGGGAAAAGGAGUAAUCCGCUUUGAGAUGGCCUCGCGUCCGAUUAGCUAGUUGGUGAGGUAACGGCCCACCAAGGCGACGAUCGGUAGCCGGACUGAGAGGUUGAACGGCCACAUUGGGACUGAGACACGGCCCAGACUCCUACGGGAGGCAGCAGUGGGGAAUAUUGCACAAUGGGGGAAACCCUGAUGCAGCGACGCCGCGUGGAGGAAGAAGGUCUUCGGAUUGUAAACUCCUGUUGUUGGGGAAGAUAAUGACGGUACCCAACAAGGAAGUGACGGCUAACUACGUGCCAGCAGCCGCGGUAAAACGUAGGUCACAAGCGUUGUCCGGAAUUACUGGGUGUAAAGGGAGCGCAGGCGGGAAGACAAGUUGGAAGUGAAAUCUAUGGGCUCAACCCAUAAACUGCUUUCAAAACUGUUUUUCUUGAGUAGUGCAGAGGUAGGCGGAAUUCCCGGUGUAGCGGUGGAAUGCGUAGAUAUCGGGAGGAACACCAGUGGCGAAGGCGGCCUACUGGGCACCAACUGACGCUGAGGCUCGAAAGUGUGGGUAGCAAACAGGAUUAGAUACCCUGGUAGUCCACACCGUAAACGAUGAUUACUAGGUGUUGGAGGAUUGACCCCUUCAGUGCCGCAGUUAACACAAUAAGUAAUCCACCUGGGGAGUACGACCGCAAGGUUGAAACUCAAAGGAAUUGACGGGGGCCCGCACAAGCAGUGG
rnacentral:rRNA from 1 species